rnacentral:rRNA from 1 species
CUCCUACGGGAGGCAGCAGUGGGGAAUAUUGCGCAAUGGGGGGRRMCCUGACGCAGCCAUGCCGCGUGAAUGAAGAAGGCCUUCGGGUUGUAAAGUUCUUUCGGUAAUGAGGAAGGGAUGUUGUUAAAUAGAUAGCAUCAUUGACGUUAAUUACAGAAGAAGCACCGGCUAACUCCGUGCCAGCAGCCGCGGUAAUAC